UACGUAGGGUGCAAGCGUUGUCCGGAAUUAUUGGGCGUAAAGAGCUCGUAGGUGGUUUGUUACGUCUGCUGUGAAAUCCUAGGGCUUAACCCUGGGCUUGCAGUGGAUACGGGCAGACUAGAGGUAGGUAGGGGAGAAUGGAAUUCCUGGUGUAGCGGUGAAAUGCGCAGAUAUCAGGAGGAACACCGGUGGCGAAGGCGGUUCUCUGGGACGGUACUGACGCUGAGACGCGAAAGCGUGGGGAGCGAACAGG
rnacentral:rRNA from 1 species